UACGUAGGGAGCAAGCGUUGUCCGGAAUCAUUGGGCGUAAAGCGCGCGUAGGCGGCCCCGUAAGUCCGCUGUGAAAGUCAAAGGCUCAACCUUUGAAAGCCGGUGGAUACUGUGGGGCUAGAGUCCGGAAGAGGCGAGUGGAAUUCCUGAUGUAGCGGUGGAAUGCGCAGAUAUCAGGAGGAACACCAAUAGCGAAGGCAGCUCGCUGGGACGGUACUGACGCUAAGGCGCGAAAGCGUGGGGAGCGAACAGG
rnacentral:rRNA from 1 species